GGAUGAUAGAGCAAAAAGGGUUUUGCAUUUGGAAUCAGGACAUCCAAGUCUUGGAUUCGUAAUUCACUGCUGAGCCAGCUUCUUUACUCCCUGACCCUUGGAAUCUCUAUCUGCAAAAAAAAGGGUUGGCUAACAUGGCAGAAAAGGAAAAUAACAAAUGCUGGACAGGAUUUGGAAAAGUUGAUAUACAAAUUCCCUGUUGUUGUCCUUUUCAUCACUCCCUCUGCUCCACACACACACAUCUACCAAAAAGUCAGUGACAUCAAAGGUCCCAUCAAAGGACACCACAUCAAGAAGACUGGCAUGUCAAGAUCAAUCUUUCUCCUGAGACAUUCCUUGCCUGAACAUUGACUGGCAGUGCAUUUGGACAACUUUACCUCUGAGACCAAUUAUCUCUCUUCUACAAUAUAUUCAGCCUUCACCAGACUGGCUUCUGGAACCAGCUGCUUUCUAUGAGGCCCUAUAUAGAUGUGGUUUUGGUGCACAGAUGUGAUUAUUUAAAUGAAGUGAAGUCUCUAUUAAAAAAAAAUAGGUAUCUUUAUUAAUCCUCCAGGAACAUAAUCCCUGGGUCCUUUUUCAUGUUAAGAAGAUUAUUCUAAAAUUACACAAAUUAGUUACUUAUGAUGAUCUUUAGUCUUCAAGUUAUAGACAUUUGAAUGAGUCACACAUUCAUUUUUCAAAACAAUAUGGUGACACCUGAAUAUAUACCACCACCAAAACCCACUCAGCUCUUAGAAAGAGGUAAAAUUAGUAAGGGUCUUCUCAACAUAUAAUCCUGUGUUUAGAAUUCAUCAAAGAGUUUUGUUCUCCAACUAGAUUCUCUUAUGGAGGUUGUCGAAAAGUGCGUAUGUGGUGUAUUAUUCCUACAGUGUCUGUCUUCAUUAAACAGCCAACAAUUAUUUUUAAGUAUAUGAUAUGAGCUAGACAACCAACUAGGCACUGGGGGGCUCAAAUACAAAGAAUGAAAUAAGAUCUAACGAAAAUCCAUUAAAAAAUUCAAUUCAAUGUCUUUUCAGAAUCUACAACAUAUAAAGCAUUUUCUUAGGAAAGAUAAAGGAAGAUUUAACAAUGAAUAAAAUCAGCUGUGGUUUCUUAAGUAACUUACA
rnacentral:lncRNA from 1 species